UUAAGCGACUAAGCGUACACGGUGGAUGCCCUGGCAGUCAGAGGCGAUGAAGGACGUGCUAAUCUGCGAAAAGCGUCGGUAAGGUGAUAUGAACCGUUAUAGCCGGCGAUGUCCGAAUGGGGAAACCCAGUGCAAUUCGUUGCACUAUCGUUAACUGAAUACAUAGGUUAACGAGGCGAACCGGGGGAACUGAAACAUCUAAGUACCCCGAGGAAAAGAAAUCAACCGAGAUUCCCCCAGUAGCGGCGAGCGAACGGGGAGCAGCCCAGAGUCUGAAUCAGCUUGUGUGUUAGUGGAACGGUCUGGAAAGUCCGACGGUACAGGGUGAUAGUCCCGUACACCAAAAUGCACAGGUUGUGAACUCGAAGAGUAGGGCGGGACACGUGGUAUCCUGUCUGAAUAUGGGGGGACCAUCCUCCAAGGCUAAAUACUCCUGACUGACCGAUAGUGAACCAGUACCGUGAGGGAAAGGCGAAAAGAACCCCGGCGAGGGGAGUGAAAAAGAACCUGAAACCGUGUACGUACAAGCAGUGGGAGCACCUUCGGGUGUGACUGCGUACCUUUUGUAUAAUGGGUCAGCGACUUAUAUUCUGUAGCAAGGUUAACCGUAUAGGGGAGCCGCAGGGAAACCGAGUCUUAACUGGGCGUUAAGUUGCAGGGUAUAGACCCGAAACCCGGUGAUCUAGCCAUGGGCAGGUUGAAGGUUGGGUAACACUAACUGGAGGACCGAACCGACUAAUGUUGAAAAAUUAGCGGAUGACUUGUGGCUGGGGGUGAAAGGCCAAUCAAACCGGGAGAUAGCUGGUUCUCCCCGAAAGCUAUUUAGGUAGCGCCUCGUGAACUCAUCUUCGGGGGUAGAGCACUGUUUCGGCUAGGGGGUCAUCCCGACUUACCAACCCGAUGCAAACUACGAAUACCGAAGAAUGUUAUCACGGGAGACACACGGCGGGUGCUAACGUCCGUCGUGAAGAGGGAAACAACCCAGACCGCCAGCUAAGGUCCCAAAGUCAUGGUUAAGUGGGAAACGAUGUGGGAAGGCACAGACAGCCAGGAUGUUGGCUUAGAAGCAGCCAUCAUUUAAAGAAAGCGUAAUAGCUCACUGGUCGAGUCGGCCUGCGCGGAAGAUGUAACGGGGCUAAACCAUGCACCGAAGCUGCGGCAGCGACACUAUGUGUUGUUGGGUAGGGGAGCGUUCUGUAAGCCUGCGAAGGUGUGCUGUGAGGCAUGCUGGAGGUAUCAGAAGUGCGAAUGCUGACAUAAGUAACGAUAAAGCGGGUGAAAAGCCCGCUCGCCGGAAGACCAAGGGUUCCUGUCCAACGUUAAUCGGGGCAGGGUGAGUCGACCCCUAAGGCGAGGCCGAAAGGCGUAGUCGAUGGGAAACAGGUUAAUAUUCCUGUACUUGGUGUUACUGCGAAGGGGGGACGGAGAAGGCUAUGUUAGCCGGGCGACGGUUGUCCCGGUUUAAGCAUGUAGGCUGGUUGUCCAGGCAAAUCCGGAUAAUCAAGGCUGAGGUGUGAUGACGAGGCACUACGGUGCUGAAGUAACAAAUGCCCUGCUUCCAGGAAAAGCCUCUAAGCAUCAGGUAACAUUAAAUCGUACCCCAAACCGACACAGGUGGUCAGGUAGAGAAUACCAAGGCGCUUGAGAGAACUCGGGUGAAGGAACUAGGCAAAAUGGUGCCGUAACUUCGGGAGAAGGCACGCUGGUGUGUAGGUGAAGCCCCUGCGGGUGGAGCUGAGACCAGUCGAAGAUACCAGCUGGCUGCAACUGUUUAUUAAAAACACAGCACUGUGCAAACACGAAAGUGGACGUAUACGGUGUGACGCCUGCCCGGUGCCGGAAGGUUAAUUGAUGGGGUUAUCCGUAAGGAGAAGCUCUUGAUCGAAGCCCCGGUAAACGGCGGCCGUAACUAUAACGGUCCUAAGGUAGCGAAAUUCCUUGUCGGGUAAGUUCCGACCUGCACGAAUGGCGUAAUGAUGGCCAGGCUGUCUCCACCCGAGACUCAGUGAAAUUGAACUCGCUGUGAAGAUGCAGUGUACCCGCGGCAAGACGGAAAGACCCCGUGAACCUUUACUAUAGCUUGACACUGAACAUUGAGCCUUGAUGUGUAGGAUAGGUGGGAGGCUUUGAAGCGUGGACGCCAGUCUGCGUGGAGCCAACCUUGAAAUACCACCCUUUAAUGUUUGAUGUUCUAACGUUGGCCCCUGACCGGGGUUGCGGACAGUGUCUGGUGGGUAGUUUGACUGGGGCGGUCUCCUCCCAAAGCGUAACGGAGGAGCACGAAGGUUAGCUAAUCCUGGUCGGACAUCAGGAGGUUAGUGCAAUGGCAUAAGCUAGCUUGACUGCGAGCGUGACGGCGCGAGCAGGUGCGAAAGCAGGUCAUAGUGAUCCGGUGGUUCUGAAUGGAAGGGCCAUCGCUCAACGGAUAAAAGGUACUCCGGGGAUAACAGGCUGAUACCGCCCAAGAGUUCAUAUCGACGGCGGUGUUUGGCACCUCGAUGUCGGCUCAUCACAUCCUGGGGCUGAAGUAGGUCCCAAGGGUAUGGCUGUUCGCCAUUUAAAGUGGUACGCGAGCUGGGUUUAGAACGUCGUGAGACAGUUCGGUCCCUAUCUGCCGUGGGCGCUGGAGAAUUGAGGGGGGCUGCUCCUAGUACGAGAGGACCGGAGUGGACGCAUCACUGGUGUUCGGGUUGUCAUGCCAAUGGCACUGCCCGGUAGCUAAAUGCGGAAGAGAUAAGUGCUGAAAGCAUCUAAGCACGAAACUUGCCCCGAGAUGAGUUCUCCCUGAGACUUUAAGUCUCCUGAAGGAACGUUGAAGACGACGACGUUGAUAGGCCGGGUGUGUAAGCGCAGCGAUGCGUUGAGCUAACCGGUACUAAUGAACCGUGAGGCUUAACCUU
rnacentral:rRNA from 1 species